rnacentral:rRNA from 2 species
CGAAAGCCUGACGGAGCAAGACCGCGUGGGGGAAGAAGGCUCUUGGGUUGUAAACCCCUUUUCUCUGGGAAGAAAGUUGUGAAAGCAACCUGACGGUACCAGAGGAAUCAGCAUCGGCUAACUCCGUGCCCGCAGCCGCGGUAAGACGGAGGAUGCAAGCGUUAUCCGGAAUGAUUGGGCGUAAAGCGUCCGCAGGUGGCAGUUCAAGUCUGCUGUCAAAGACCGGGGCUUAACUUCGGAAAGGAAGUGGAAACUGAACAGCUAGAGUAUGGUAGGGGCAGAGGGAAUUCCUGGGGUAGCGGUGAAAUGCGUAGAGAUCAGGAAGAACAUCGGUGGCGAAGGCGCUCUGCUGGACCAUAACUGACACUGAGGGACGAAAGCUAGGGGAGCG